rnacentral:rRNA from 1 species
AUGAAGCCAAAACAGAAGAAAGCAAGAAUAGAACAAAUUGAAGCUCGUCGUCAAUUGGAAUGUAGCACACCAUCCAAAGAUUCAAUUGCAAUGGAGAACCCUAAAUAUGUCGCAACGAAACAGGAGGUUAGCAUUUCUAAAUUUACUGCAAAACACAUUUCUAAAUUUACUGCAAAACACAGGGUGGCUGCAGGAGAAAGGCAAACAUUGCUACACCGUCUCAAUGAAGAAUUCAUGAAAAGACGGAAGCAAACAGUUUCUGAAUCAUCAAAAGAAGAUGCAUCCAUGACAGAAACCUGCGACGAAAACAAUCAACCUCUAGAGCAGCCACAAUUCAUGACUUACGGUAAUAAUCUUCAUUUUAUACUCGCAUUCCAAGUAAAUAUAAAUCUGUCUGCACAACUAACGAUCUAUUCUGAACAGACAUUCCCUCAAUGUUUCCAAGCAUCAGAGAAACAGAUGCAUCAAGACAAUCAUUAUACAAUGAUAAUCACAGUAAAGUGGAUUUGUGGCCAGACAUCCCCUCCAGAAUGCUUCCAACAAUCAAAGAAGUGCAUGCACGAAUACAAUCAAUCUACAAUGAUGAUCAUGGUAAAUUUAUAUAUUACAUAUAAAUACUUUUAUAUACAAACAUUUAAUAUACAUAACAAUAAAAAAAUAUUACACAGGUAA